rnacentral:lncRNA from 1 species
GUGAGACUCCAUCUCAGAAAAAAAAAAAAAAAAAGAUUAUUGUAGAUAAAUUAGCAACAAGACGUGUCUUUUAGGAGGUAAAACCAAAUGCCCCAUAGCAUUAGGAAUGUUUCAGCUGUCCCUUUUGUAAAAGUAACCCUUGGGGACUGAAGAAAAUGCCCACGCUCCCAGAAGGAGAAGGAGAACAUUUCCCAGGAAGCCUGGCAUGCUCACAGAUGUCCUAGAGCCCUCACACUUCUCACAGGAACCAGUUCCCCAGCCUGCAGUGACAGGUGAGGAUCACAACCCUCUAUGUGGGAAUUGGAGGCCUCUGUUUUCCAGCUCUGGGACCCCGGGUGGGUCUUUCAUCCUUGGUGUUUUGCUUUCCCCAAUUAGCAGCAAAGGAAAUUCCUGACCUCAAUUAGUGAUUGGUCAGAUGGCACCACGUUUGUGAAAUUGCUUGAGGAAAUACGUGCCAUCUUUUACUAAUGUCAUAGUUAAUCUAGCAUACUAUCACUGGCCAACACUUGCAUGAAGUUUAAAUUCUCUAAAAGGCCCGCAAAUUAAAUCAGAGAUGAUGACGUACCCUUUGGGAAUUACAUUACAACACCUUUCUGUUUCUGGAAUGUUCUUUAUAGAACAGCGAUGUGAUUGAUCUCUGAUGGGCAGCACGGCCUCUGGGUGAGUGAUGGCCGACAGGGCUGGGACAGAGAGCUUCAUAACAUUUCUAGGCAGCCAGUUCUGGCUGGUAUCCUGGCCACUGCUCACACUCUACUGUACUGGGACAUGCCAACCAUUCCUUUCUCUGAAGAGCUUCAGCAAAGCCCAGGCCUCCCAAAUGAUGUUUAUCAACCCUAGAGAGACAAGUGAGGUCUAGUGGUUCGAGUCAGCAAGGGUAGGGAGCCAUGAGGGUUCAGGUGCUCCCCUGACACUCGGGUUUUUUCUUCUUUCAGGGUCACUGUGCAAAUCAUUUAAGGAAAUCUCUCCUUCUUUCUCUCUGCCUGUCUCUCCCUCCCUCCCUCCAUCAGCUCUCCAUGCAUAUACAUCAAGAAACCAUUCUACGAUCUAAGACAGGGCGGAGGGAGGCUGUGCUGGUUGGUUAUUUGUAGCUCCUUCAGAAUGAGAAGCUGCACAGGCACCAAUUAUAAUUGGUAACUUCUAUGCUGACCCCAGAGAUCAGAAACGUUGUCUGCUAGAUCCCAGCAGCCUCUGAAGCCCAGAGCCAAGGAACGUCUUAGAGACUUUGCAGGAAAAUAUUUGAAAGUUCAAAAUGUUUAGAGUCGACAUUAGACACUUUUCCCUCUGAACUCAGAGUGGGGACUUCUUGAAUUGGCCCCCAAUCCAAACGUCUUUCCUUCUUCCUAAUCUUUUUUUUUCUCUCCCUGAUGCAGUUCACCAUUUUAUUUAGAGUCAAAGGCAGAGUCAAAGGGGGACAGGGACAUUGAAGCUUUGUUCCCACAAUAUCAGACAGAAGACUGAGUCACGUGUAUCAGCCAAGACUCCCAGACCAAAAUGUUCCAGAGUCUGGGGACUCCUUAAGCCAAAAUCCUUCGAGGGCCUGGCAGCCAGGAUUGUUUUAUGAACAAGGAAAUUCGCCUGAGGAAGUCGACUUCAGUCUGAAUGCAAGGAAAAAAGUUGAGCCCGCAGACUUCCAUCGUGUUAACAUGAGGUCGGAAGUCGCUGUCCUUGCCAGUGUGGACAGCAACGUCGAGGGCAGAGGAAGGGCAGAGCUGCAGGCAUUCAGACAGCCCUGGCUGGACAGUAAGGGCCCCCAGGCACGGAAGGUAGGCUGUACACGGGGCAUCCAGGAGUGGUGGGUCCACACCCCUCCAUGGCCUUCACCACCGCCCCCAUGCCUGCUUUCUCCUGUGUGGGAAAGACCUUGGGUUCCACAGGCCAGGCAGGAAGCUACAAUGGUGAACCUCGCCCAGUCCGUGUGUGUGCUGUAGACAGUGGCCACAGAAAGGACAGAUGAGCAAGUGACCGUUUCUAGUUGUUUUCACGAAGUUCUGUGUACUGGCAAAGCCUGUUGCCUUCAGCACACUCACAAAAAGUUGAUUUCCUGAAGAAGAAAACAAGCAAACAUUGGACACACGUGUGGGAAAUGCAAACAAACACAUUGUCACUACCGAAGGUAGAAACUGGAGCAGAUACCUUAUAAAAACCACUGCUUUAGCCAGGCGCGGUGGCUCACGCCUGUAAUCCCAGCACUUUGGGAGGCUGCAGCGGGCGGAUCACCUGAGGUCAGGAGUUUGAGACCAGCCUGGCCAACAUGGCAAAACCCCGUCUCUACUAAAAAUAUAAAAAUUAGCUGGGCGUGGUGGUGGACACCUGUAAUCCCCACUACUCAGGAGGCUAAGGCAGGAAAACCACUUCAACCCAGGAGGCAGAGGUUGCAGAGAGUCAAGACUGGGCCACUGCACUCCAGCCUGGGUGACUGAGACUCUGUCUCAAAAAAAAAAAAAAUUUUUUUUUGAAAAACCGCUGCUUUUAGGAAUGUCAAUGUGAACAUAGAGUUUUUUCUAAUUAUUCUUACCUGCUGUGACUUUUAACCAAAUAGAGCCAGUCAACGUGGAUUAAAGGGAGUAUCCUUUGAACCAUAAUAGGAAGACUAGGGCAACAUGUACUUAGGUAUCAAAAUAAGCAAAGCACCGUGUCAGACGUUCGUUGGUGGGACCCCAGAAUCCAAAUGAGCAGUUUUUCCACAAUCAUGCACCCUGUGAUUGCAGGUCUAGAGAUCUGUCAUUGUCAUUUCUCUCUUUUUUUUUUUUAAGAGACAGGGUCUCACUUUGUUGCCCAGGCUGGGG